rnacentral:rRNA from 1 species
GACGGAGGGGGCUAGCGUUGUUCGGAAUUACUGGGCGUAAAGAGUGCGUAGGCGGUUUAGUAAGUUGGAAGUGAAAGCCCGAGGCUUAACCUCGGAACUGCUUUCAAAACUACUAAUCUAGAGUGUAGUAGGGGAUGAUGGAAUUCCUAGUGUAGAGGUGAAAUUCUUAGAUAUUAGGAGGAACACCGGUGGCGAAGGCGGUCAUCUAGGCUACAACUGACGCUGAGGCGCGAAAGCUAGGGGAGCAAACAGG